rnacentral:lncRNA from 1 species
GCUAAUCCCCAUGUUGUCACAUCCAAUGGUGAAUUUUCCGUCUUUACAUAAAACACCUGAAAUACAAGUCAUCAUUUCUUGCUUGAGUUACUGCAAUAGCUUCCCUCCUUCCACUGUUGUCUUUUUUUUUUUUUUUUUUUUUUUUAGACAUCUCCUGCUUACCAUCCUACAAUGGUUGCCUUUCACAUUUAGAAGGAAAUCCAUAUUCCUUAUUUCGAAAAAGUCCCACACAAGUUUACCUUUCUGUCCCCUCUUCCAUACAGGGAGAGAUAUGAAGACCUAUUCAGAGUUUCAUCUGGGGAUGAAAGCUAUGGAAGAUGAUGCACAAAUGUUAUUGAUGGAGAAAAUGGUUGGGUGUGUCCUUUCUGGUGACCAUGAGAAAAUAAUAUGUCUUGAUGAAGUCUUUUCAUUAGUCACUCUUAGAAUUCUAAAGUGCUUUGCACUUUUCAAUAUGUUUUGAAUCAUCAGGUAAUUUAUUCUGGAUGAUAUUCUCCAAAAUUCAAUUCAGUUAUUAUAUUCAUUUAGCAUUAAGUCAAGGAGACUGAGAGACAAUGACUCAAGGGACGUCAUAGUACCAUAGUUUUAAGGACCAAGGUGUGCCCAGAAUUCAAGUUUCACAAAUCCCAAUGCUGUGCAUUGAUUAUGUUCAACUUUAUGUGUGCAUUUUUAGAAGAGUAAGAACAAAUAAAGUACACUGUAAUAUACAUAUAAAUACAUUCACGUUUGUGAGAGAAGGAAAGAGUAAAUAAUUUGAAUUGGCAGCUUUCUUUGCUAAAUCUUUAAAUUCUGUUAAGAUCCUCAAGUAACUGGGGAGUACAUGCUUUAGGACACAAACAAAAACAAAGGGCAUGAAAGUAUCUGAAAGCAAUGUAGCACACAUCUAUCGUAAUAUAUGUAAUAUAUUGACAUAAAAGACACAAAUUAAUAUAAAGUUAUAGUUAUAUCUUAAAAUAUAAUUGAAGAAGCAUAUGACGUAUAACUUACAGAAAUCAGUAUCAAUUCCUCCCAUUUCAAUUCAGUUAAGACUUCUGUGAUAGAUGUUUAUAGAAGAAAGAAAUGUCUCAUCAAUAGAAAACUAUCAGAUAAAGUUUAGGAGAUAGGAAGAAGGACUGUGUGUAGUAAUGAAAAUACCAAGUUGCAACACUACAUAUUUACAAAAAAAAAUCUGUGUUUGUAGUGUGGAAGUUGGUGACUGUUUUAAUCAUCAUCUAGACUUGUAAGUAGAAAAAUUUUAAAAAUUUGCUUAUGAAAAUAUAACCCCCAGAAAGUAACAACGACAAAGUAUUAUAUUUGUACAUAUUAUUGUAGAUAAUUUGUAU